rnacentral:rRNA from 1 species
GUUGAACGCUGGCGGCAGGCCUAACACAUGCAAGUCGAGCGGCACGGCGAACGGGUGGGUAAUGCCUAGGAAUCUGCCUGGUAGUGGGGGAUCACGUCCGGGAGCGGGCGCUCUUACCGCAUACUAUCAGAUGCGCCUCGGGGGGAUUAGCUAGUUGGUGGGGUAAAGGCUUACCAAGGCGACGAUCCGUAGGCGGUCUGAGAGGAGGAUCAGUCACACUGGAACGGAGACACGGUCCAGACUCCUACGGGAGGCAGCAGUAGGGAAUAUUGGACAAUGGACGAAAGCCUGACCGAGCCAUGCCGCGUGAGUGAAGAAGGUCUGCGGAUUGUAAAGCACUUUAUGUUGGGAGGCGGUACCAACACAAUAAGCACCGGCUAACUACGUGCCAGCAGCCGCGGUAAUUC